UACGGAGGGUGCAAGCGUUAAUCGGAAUCACUGGGCGUAAAGCGCACGAAGGCGGUUUGUUAAGUCAGGUGUGAAAUCCCCGGGCUCAACCUGGGAACGGCAGCGGAUACUGGCAAGCUGGAGUCUCGUAGAGGGGGGUAGAAUUCCAGGUGUAGCGGUGAAAUGCGUAGAGAUCUGGAGGAACACCGGUGGCGAAGGCGGCCCCCUGGACGAAGACUGACGCUCAGGUGCGAAAGCGUGGGGAGCAAACAGG
rnacentral:rRNA from 1 species